AUUGAACGCUGGCGGCAUGCUUUACACAUGCAAGUCGAGCGGCAGCGCGGGGGCAACCCUGGCGGCGAGCGGCGAACGGGUGAGUAAUGCAUCGGAACGUAUCCUGUAGUGGGGAAUAACUCACCGAAAGGUGAGCUAAUACCGCAUAAGCUCUGAGGAGGAAAAGCGGGGGGACCGAAAGGCCUCGCGCUGCAGGAGCGGCCGAUGUCCGAUUAGCUAGUUGGUGAGGUAAAGGCUCACCAAGGCGACGAUCGGUAGCUGGUCUGAGAGGAUGAUCAGCCACACUGGGACUGAGACACGGCCCAGACUCCUACGGGAGGCAGCAGUGGGGAAUUUUGGACAAUGGGGAAACCCUGAUCCAGCCAUGCCGCGUGAGUGAAGAAGGCCUUCGGGUUG
rnacentral:rRNA from 1 species